ensembl:lncRNA
UCCACUUUAACCAUAUUCCAGUAGAUUUAGGAAAUUAUAUUUAAAGACAUACUUAAGUUUAACUAAUUGAAUUUAAUAUGAAUUUGAACUGUGAUGAUUUAAAAUGCAGUUAAGUGUCUGAAAACAUUACAUUUAGCUCAUUCUUCUUUUAUAAUAUUUCAUUAAUAAUAUUCUUUUUAAAAGUAUACUUAAGUGGACUUCUUUUUCACAAGGGUGGGCUUGAAUGAAAAAAGACUGUCCUCCGCUGAAGUUGUCUUAAGUUGAACUGGUUCUGGGAAGCCUCUGUCUCAGGUGUACGUGGAGCUGAAAAACAGCUUGUGUUCUUGUGAGGGCAGGGAGAGCGUGGAUCACGACACGCUUCUCUCUCAGUCAUCUCCAUUGACAGCGGUUGCUAUGCACAGGACGAGACUGAGAGAUGGUCAUGCGCUUCAGCUGGUACACAUGAAUGAACAUGUCCAUUAUGACCCUGCUGUUACAUACACUCUCAGCCAAUCAUGCAGAUCUUAAAACAGAGUGUACAACCGAAUAUAGCUGCACAUAAACAGCAAUCUAAUGAACAUUCAAAGAGUUCCUUCUCCCCUCACAUCAAAAAAAAAAAAUAAAAAAAAUAAUACAAUAAUAAAAUUCAAAGAUGUAACCGUUAAUAUUAAUUAAUCGACCUGACAAUUUAAUUAAUGUUAACAAAGAUUAAUUCAUAUCGCUCAUUGUUGGUUAAUGCAUUAAUUAACAUUUACUAAUAGACCUCAUUGUAAAGUGUUUCCCAUUUUGCUUGAAGAAACUGAAGCCUAUUUUUAGCACUAUUAAUGAAACUCUUAAACUCUCAUUAUUGAUUCUCAUUACUGUAGCCCAAUAAAAACAAACAAACAGUAUAUUAAUUGAAUUUGAUAGCAUUUAUACGUAAUCGUAUUUGUUUUACAACUUUCAAUUUUUUCUGAAUUAACACAUUUUUUAAUCGUGGUAUUUUUACUGUAAUACAAUAAAAGAUUAUAUUAGAGAAUCUGCGGUAAUCAUAACUUAGAUUUAUGAAAAUUAUAAAUAAAUGAAUAAGACAUCAAAAGACAAUAUCUUAAUGGUCUUAGGCCUCCUUUUUUGUUUAUACUAAAUAAACACAUAUUGAUUUAUUUUUGGUGAAACACUCAGAAAGACUUCACUGAUUUGUUGUUACCAUCGUGUGAGACUUUAGGCGGUUAUUCAGGACAUGUUCUUAUUGAAUAAUACGAUAUCUUUGACAUAAUAAAUGGGUUUUAAUUUAAUGUUUUAGUGCUAGUGGAAAUUUUGGAGAUACAUUUUUUUUUUUUUUACAAGUUGAUUUAUUUCUAAAACUCUUUCACCCAAAACACAUUUUAAUUGAGCUGUUUAAAGAGAACAGAUGAUUGUCUUGUACAGUCUGCAGUGAUAGGUCUUUGCUUGCCUCAUGAGUUACAUAAUCACGCUGAAAUGCCUCACUUUUACAAGUUUGAGCUGAAUUGAAGAGUUGACCUGCUGUAGGGUUCCUGCGGAGAAACAACAUCUGCACUCGAGUACUUACACGUUCAUGUUACCUCUGUCUGUCAGAGCAGGGCAUCAGUUCAUUUUAUCCAUUACCUUUGUCAACUAACACAGACAAACAAACCUUUCAGAAAUACAACAAUCUCUCUGCUCCCACUCUCAGACCGAACAAAACGAGUUGGGAUUGAUCUGUGUAAAUCAUUUAUCAUUGAUCCAGGGUUUCUCUGCGUCUUGUUGAGUCCCAGAUGGAUUCAGCUGACAAUACUGAUUGUGUUGAAGAAUGAGUCCCUUCUGCCGACCACUGAUUUAAGUUUAUUUUCUGUUCCCUUACGCAAUGAAAGUGUGUGUGUGUGUGUGUGUGUAUAUAUACAUACAUACACACACACACAUAUAUAUGUAUAUAUAUAUAAAUAUAUAUAUAUAUGUAUAUGUACACACAUAUAUAUAUAUAUAUAUAUAUAUAUAUAUAUAUAUAUAUAUAUAUAUAUAUAUAUGUGCAUAUAUAUAAAUUAAUGAUCAAUAUAUUAAAUGAUUUAAUGUAUACUGAAAGUCUGCAGAAUAAUAUAUUGUGUUAAUAUAUUACCAUAUAUUAAGUAAUAAUGAGUUUCAUGUAGAGAAAUGUGAGAAUAUAUUUACUUCCAUACUGUAAUGUAUAUAAUUUUAUAUUGAAUGAUACACUUCCUAAUACAUAGAUGUAUAUGUGAAAAUAUGGCACUAUAUAUAUAUAUAUAUAUAUAUAUAUAUUCAUUUGCUAUUUUUACAUGGGAAAAUAUGUGCAAUAUAUGUACACAAUCAAGA